rnacentral:rRNA from 1 species
AGAGUUUGAUCAUGGCUCAGAUUGAACGCUGGCGGCAUGCCUAACACAUGCAAGUCGAACGGCAGCAUGAGGUGUAGCAAUACACCUUGAUGGCGAGUGGCGGACGGGUGAGGAAUGCAUCGGAAUCUGCCCAAUCGUGGGGGACAACGCAGGGAAACUUGCGCUAAUACCGCAUACGACCUUCGGGUGAAAGCAGGGGAUCUUCGGACCUUGCGCGAUUGGAUGAGCCGAUGCCGGAUUAGCUAGUUGGCGGGGUAAAAGCCCACCAAGGCGACGAUCCGUAGCUGGUCUGAGAGGAUGAUCAGCCACACUGGGACUGAGACACGGCCCAGACUCCUACGGGAGGCAGCAGUGGGGAAUAUUGGACAAUGGGGGCAACCCUGAUCCAGCAAUGCCGCGUGUGUGAAGAAGGCCUUCGGGUUGUAAAGCACUUUUAUCGGGAACGAAACAUUGUCGGUUAAUACCCGGCAAGACUGACGGUACCCGAGGAAUAAGCACCGGCUAACUCCGUGCCAGCAGCCGCGGUAAUAC